rnacentral:rRNA from 1 species
GAAGAAGGCUCUUGGGUUGUAAACUCCUUUUCUCUGGGAAGAACAAAAUGACGGUACCAGAGGAAUCAGCAUCGGCUAACUCCGUGCCAGCAGCCGCGGUAAGACGGAGGAUGCAGCGUUAUCCGGAAUGAUUGGGCGUAAAGCGUCCGCAGGUGGCAGUUCAAGUCUGCUGUCAAAGACCGGGGCUCAACCUCGGAAAGGCAGUGGAAACUGAACAGCUAGAGCUUGGUAGGGGCAAAGGGAAUUCCUGGUGUAGCGGUGAAAUGCGUAGAGAUCACGAAGAACAUCGGUGGCGAAGGCGCUUUGCUGGACCAUAACUGACACUCAGGCACGAAAGCUAGGGGAGCGAAUGGGAUUAGAUACCCCAGUAGUCCUAGCCGAAAACGAUGGAUACUAGGUGUUGUCUGUAUCGACCCGGACAGUGCCGUAGCUUACGCGUUAAGUAUCCCGCCUGGGGAGUACGCACGCAAGUGUGACGCGAAUUGACGG